rnacentral:rRNA from 1 species
GAUGAACGCUGGCGGCGUGCCUAAUACAUGCAAGUCGAGCGAACAGAUGAGGAGCUUGCUCCUCUGACGUUAGCGGCGGACGGGUGAGUAACACGUGGAUAACCUACCUAUAAGACUGGGAUAACUUCGGGAAACCGGAGCUAAUACCGGAUAAUAUAUUGAACCGCAUGGUUCAAUAGUGAAAGACGGUUUUGCUGUCACUUAUAGAUGGAUCCGCGCCGCAUUAGCUAGUUGGUAAGGUAACGGCUUACCAAGGCAACGAUGCGUAGCCGACCUGAGGGGGUCAUCGGCCACACUGGAACUGAGACACGGUCCAGACUCCUACGGGAGGCCGCAGUAGGGAAUCUUCCGCAAUGGGCGAAAGCCUGACGGAGCAACGCCGCGUGAGUGAUGAAGGUCUUCGGAUCGUAAAACUCUGUUAUUAGGGAAGAACAAAUGUGUAAGUAACUAUGCACGUCUUGACGGUACCUAAUCAGAAAGCCACGGCUAACUACGUG